rnacentral:pre_miRNA from 1 species
UUAGCUCAUAUUUGUAUGGAAUGGGAUCGUUUGCGUACGUUUGCCGCUAGGGGCGCUGUUCCAACUGCAUACAAAUAUGAGUUA